rnacentral:rRNA from 1 species
UACAGAGGGUGCAAGCGUUGUUCGGAAUUACUGGGCGUAAAGCGCACGUAGGCGGCUUUGUAAGUUAGAGGUGAAAGCCCGGGGCUCAACUCCGGAAUUGCCUUUAAGACUGCAUCGCUAGAAUUGUGGAGAGGUAAGUGGAAUUCCGAGUGUAGAGGUGAAAUUCGUAGAUAUUCGGAAGAACGCCAGUGGCGAAGGCGACUUACUGGACACAUAUUGACGCUGAGGUGCGAAAGCGUGGGGAGCAAACAGG